rnacentral:rRNA from 1 species
UACGAAGGGGGCUAGCGUUGUUCGGAAUUACUGGGCGUAAAGGGCGCGCAGGCGGUACUUCAAGUCAGGCGUGAAAGCCCCGGGCUCAACCUGGGAACCGCGCUUGAGACUGGAGAACUAGAGUCCGGGAGAGGAUGGUGGAAUUCCCAGUGUAGAGGUGAAAUUCGUAGAUAUUCGGAAGAACACCAGUGGCGAAGGCGACUCGCUGGACAAGUAUUGACGCUGAGGUGCGAAAGCCAGGGGAGCAAACGGG